GGUAAAGUGCCUGAUUAAAGGAUUAUUUUGAUAGAAUAAAUUAAGUAAUUUUAUAUUACCUUUACCU
rnacentral:tRNA from 1 species